UACAGAGGUGCCCAAGCGUUGUUCGGAUUCAUUGGGCGUAAAGGGGUGCGUAGGCGGCGCGGUAAGUCGGGUGUGAAAUCUCGGGAGCUUAACUCCGAAACUGCAUUCGAUACUGCCGUGCUUGAGGACUGGAGAGGAGACUGGAAUUUACGGUGUAGCGGUGAAAUGCGUAGAUAUCGUAAGGAAGACCAGUGGCGAAGGCGGGUCUCUGGACAGUUCCUGACACUGAGACACGAAGGCCAGGGGAGCAAACGGG
rnacentral:rRNA from 1 species